rnacentral:tRNA from 1 species
GAUAAAAUGUCUGACUAAAGAGAUAAACUGUAAAUUUAUUUAUGAAUUAAAAAUUCUUUUAUUA